ensembl:ncRNA F14H12.12 ncRNA
CCGCAGGCGCUACAUUCGACGAGCAUUCGUAAUGCCCUCGGCUCACUCUACGUUAUUUGAGCAGUGUGUGGUCGAGGCGAAAGGGGGAAAAGGACGGGAAAGAGUGCGAAGUGUGUACUGCGCUCGUUUCAUAAGACUUGACCCUUCACAC